rnacentral:misc_RNA from 1 species
AUUUUCAGUGGUAGCUAUAAACAAGUCUAAAAAUGGAGUCCAAAAUUCUAUUAACAAAAAUUGGAUAAAUUUUAACAACUUUAAGAAAUUUGGCCGAUUUUGCUAAGAUUAAAGGGAUUGGAUAAAAUUGUCAAAAUGCAUUAAGUUUGGUGUUUUUUGUCAAUAGGCCAUCAAAUAAUCAAAUAAUCUAUAGGAAAGUUUUAAAGUUACAUAUUGUUUCUUUAAUUUUCAGGAAUAAAGAGUAUAUUGAAAUUUAAAAAGUAAAUUAGCAUGGUUGGUUUAGCACAUGUUAAAGUUACGUUUUGCCUAUGCCUAUGCCUAUACUGAAUUUUAAUACAAUACCCUUGACUUCAGUUUUUAGUUAGAUCCUCUGCCUUUGGUCAAUAUUUCACUUAGGGAACAAUGGCUUCUAUACCAGACAUAUAUGCCUUUAUCCACUUGGCUUGUGUGUAGUGUGUAUUGUUCUGUGAUUAUAGUUAGGUUCCAGAAAUGAAGUGUUGGUUCUUAACAUACUUGUCUUCGUUCUUCACUAACAAAUAAAGGGUUGGAAAUGGAAAUGAUUGCCUUUUCUUUUUCCCUUUUUCCAAACAGAAAUAAUAUGUAAAGAAAAGAUAUUGGUAGUGACACUGUUGUUCCUACCAAGAUGCAAGGUUGAAUUUUGUGCCAGCGGUUGCUUCACAAAAAGAGACCAAUAAACUAGAUUUCAUUUAUA